rnacentral:rRNA from 1 species
GAGUACGUGAAACUGCUCAGAGGCAAACGGGUGGGCCCUCGAAAUCCUGUGGCGGGAGGAUUCAGUCUCGCGGGGCGGACGUGCGAUCGGAGAUUCCCAGAACGGUUCCGCGGAGGCGGCCGCUCCGAAUGCACGCUUUCGCUUCGCAGGACGCAUUUGUUUCCCGUCCGAAGGACCCCGCAACCGGUUCGGAAACGGCCUUAAGGGCGAGCGAUGGCAGUUGGCCGGUGGCUUACUAACGUGGGUCGCCGGUUGUUAGCCGGUUCUCGUCGCACGGCUCGUGGCCGGACCGAGGUGUCGCGAGGCCUCUUUAGGCUUCUUCGCCUCCUCCGUUAGCGGACGCCGGGAUCCAGCGGCAGGGGUUCGCACUUCUGCGGGCGCACGGACAGUCUCCGUGGCCCAGCGGUCGCGCUGCGUCCUCGUUGGCUGCGGUUGAACCCGUCGGAGGUUGGCGGUUCGCGGGGAGUAGAUCGGUCACCCACCCGACCCGUCUUGAAACACGGACCAAGGAGUCUAACAUGUGUGCGAGUCAAUGGGUCUCGAUUAAGCCCAGAGGCGCAAUGAAAGCAAAGGUCGGACACGACGCCGACCGAGUUGGGAUCCCUCAGUUAAUAAAAACUGGGGGCGCACCAACGACCCGUCCUGUUCCGUUUACGGAUUGGGCGGCGUUUGAGCAUACACGUUGGGACCCGAAAGAUGGUGAACUAUGCCCGGGCAGGACGAGGCCAGAGGAAACUCUGGUGGAGGUCCGCAGCG